rnacentral:rRNA from 1 species
CCCUUAGAUGUUCUGGGCUGCACGCGCGCUACACUGACACACGCAACGAGUCUCCUGCCCUGACAGGGUCGGGUAAUCAUUUGAGUGUGUGUCGUGAUGGGGAUAGAGUAUUGCAAUUAUUGCUCUUGAACGAGGAAUUCCUAGUAAGCACAAGUCAGCAGCUUGUGCUGAUUACGUCCCUGCCCUUUGUACACACCGCCCGUCGCUCCUACCGAGGGGGUGAUCCGGUGAAUGAUUUGGACUCUGGUGCUUCUAGCUGCUAGAUGCGCCGGAGGAAGUUUUGUGAACCUUAUCACUUGGAGGAAGGAGAAGUCGUAACA